GAGGGUUUGAUCCUGGCUCAGAUUGAACGCUGGCGGCAGGCCUAACACAUGCAAGUCGAGCGGAUGAAGGGAGCUUGCUCCUGGAUUCAGCGGCGGACGGGUGAGUAAUGCCUAGGAAUCUGCCUGGUAGUGGGGGAUAACGUCCGGAAACGGGCGCUAAUACCGCAUACGUCCUGAGGGAGAAAGUGGGGGAUCUUCGGACCUCACGCUAUCAGAUGAGCCUAGGUCGGAUUAGCUAGUUGGUGGGGUAAAGGCCUACCAAGGCGACGAUCCGUAACUGGUCUGAGAGGAUGAUCAGUCACACUGGAACUGAGACACGGUCCAGACUCCUACGGGAGGCAGCAGUGGGGAAUAUUGGACAAUGGGCGAAAGCCUGAUCCAGCCAUGCCGCGUGUGUGAAGAAGGUCUUCGGAUUGUAAAGCACUUUAAGUUGGGAGGAAGGGCAGUAAGUUAAUACCUUGCUGUUUUGACGUUACCAACAGAAUAAGCACCGGCUAACUUCGUGCCAGCAGCCGCGGUAAUACGAAGGGUGCAAGCGUUAAUCGGAAUUACUGGGCGUAAAGCGCGCGUAGGUGGUUCAGCAAGUUGGAUGUGAAAUCCCCGGGCUCAACCUGGGAACUGCAUCCAAAACUACUGAGCUAGAGUACGGUAGAGGGUGGUGGAAUUUCCUGUGUAGCGGUGAAAUGCGUAGAUAUAGGAAGGAACACCAGUGGCGAAGGCGACCACCUGGACUGAUACUGACACUGAGGUGCGAAAGCGUGGGGAGCAAACAGGAUUAGAUACCCUGGUAGUCCACGCCGUAAACGAUGUCGACUAGCCGUUGGGAUCC
rnacentral:rRNA from 1 species